rnacentral:rRNA from 4 species
CCUGGCGGCCGUAGCGCGGUGGUCCCACCUGACCCCAUGCCGAACUCAGAAGUGAAACGCCGUAGCGCCGAUGGUAGUGUGGGGUCUCCCC